GAUGAAGAACGCAGCGAAAUGCGAUAAGUAAUGUGAAUUGCAGAAUUCAGUGAAUCAUCGAGUCUUUGAACGCACAUUGCGCCCCCUGGUAUUCCGGGGGGCAUGCCUGUCCAAGCGUCAUUGCCGCCCUCAAGCACGGCUUGUGUGUUGGGCCCCCGCCCCCCGGCUUCGGGGGGCGGGCCCGAAAGGCAGCGGCGGCACCGCGUCCGGUCCUCGAGCGUAUGGGGCUUCGUCACCCGCUCUGUAGGCCCGGCCGGCGCCCGCCGGCGACCCCAAUCAAUCUUUCCAGGUUGACCUCGGAUCAGGUAGGGAUACCCGCUGAACUUAAGCAUAUCAAUAAGCGGAGGA
rnacentral:misc_RNA from 1 species